rnacentral:tRNA from 1 species
GCCGCGGUAGCUCAGCUCGGUAGAGCGACGGGCUGUUAACCCGUUGGUCGAAGGUUCGAGUCCUUCCCGAGGCGCCA